UGUUCUGUGGCUUAGUUGGUUAAAGCGUCAGUCUAGCGAAUACGGAGUCGUGGGUUUGAAUCACAUCAGAAUGC
rnacentral:tRNA from 1 species